UACGUAGGGUGCAAGCGUUGUCCGGAAUUAUUGGGCGUAAAGGGCUCGUAGGCGGUUUGUCGCGUCGGGAGUGAAAACCAGGUGCUUAACACCUGGCUUGCUUUCGAUACGGGCAGACUAGAGGCAUGCAGGGGAGAACGGAAUUCCUGGUGUAGCGGUGAAAUGCGCAGAUAUCAGGAGGAACACCGGUGGCGAAGGCGGUUCUCUGGGCAUGUCCUGACGCUGAGGAGCGAAAGUGUGGGGAGCGAACAGG
rnacentral:rRNA from 1 species